GGAUGCGAUCAUACCAGCACUAAUGCACCGGAUCCCAUCAGAACUCCGCAGUUAAGAGUGCUUGGGCGAGAGUAGUACUAGGAUGGGUGACCUCCCGGGAAGUCCUCGUGUUGCAUCCC
rnacentral:rRNA from 1 species